UAAAACAAACGUGUGAUAUUAUGCUUAUAUAGUCCAUAUACAUAUUCCAGUACACUUGAUCAAUUGUCAAUUUGUCAUCCUGUCAUCAGGUAUUUCUCAUUGUUUAGUGUAUGCUCGUUUAAACCCUCAUUCCAACAACAUUCCCAAUUGUUAACAUCACACACCAGCAGAUCUGUCUACAGCUGACUUUAACAAUGAAAACAACAUUAUUAUAAGCUGUAGUCAGUCAGAGGGAGGAGCUACAGUUUAAUCUUCAGUCUGUUCAUUCUUCACCUUCUGUUACAGUUGUGUUUGGUUAUAGUUUAUCUUAGGAUGAAAUGUGCAGAAUUGAUUCUCAGGGUCAUUUUUAUCUCUCCAUUGUUCAGAUGUUGUCUGUGAUCUUGAUGAUUGUUUCACUGCUCAAAGAGAGUGCUGCUGCAAGUGUAAUAGAUCCACUGUCUUUAGAGACGCACAUCAUGACAGGAGACAAUGUUACUCUCUCCUGCAGUUACAGUGGUGGUGUUAACUACUUGCAGUGGUAUCGACAAUAUCCAGGAUCUCCAGCAGAGUUUCUCAUCUUUAUCACUGAGACGAGUGGCCGAUCAGAGACUUCACUCAGACUUUCAUCUGUAGCUGAUAAAGAAAAUAAACGUGUGGAUCUGAACAUCUUCUCAGCAGAGAUUAAAGACUCUGCCAUGUAUUACUGUGCCCUGGUGCCCACAGUGACAUAAAACACUGUCACACUGUACAAAAACCUCUAUUCAAUACAUAGAUUAGACAUUGUUUUCACAAGAAAAUGGUAGUUAACUAAGUGUGCGUAUGCAUGAAUUUGUGCAUAAUAUCUCCAUAUCAACGUUUAUGUAAAUAAAUCAUAAUGAAAAAAAAACAUUUUUACUAAAAUGUAUUUAAAUAUGCAAAAAAAAAUGCAAGAACAGGACCACACCUACC